rnacentral:rRNA from 1 species
CCUACGGGAGGCAGCAGUGGGGAAUAUUGGACAAUGGGCGAAAGCCUGAUCCAGCGACGCCGCGUGGGUGAUGAAGGCCUUCGGGUCGUAAAGCCCUGUCAGAUGGGAAGAAUACGGGGCGACCUAAUACGUCGCUCUCUGACGGUACCGUCAAAGGAAGCACCGGCUAACUCUGUGCCAGCAGCCGCGGUAAGACAGAGGGUGCAAGCGUUGUUCGGAAUUACUGGGCGUAAAGGGCGUGUAGGCGGUGGAGUAUGUCUGAUGUGAAAACCCUCGGCUUAACUGAGGAAGUGCAUCGGAAACUACUUUACUUGAGUACGACAGAGGAUGGCGGAAUUCCCAGUGUAGAGGUGAAAUUCGUAGAUACUGGGAGGAACACCCGAGGCGAAGGCGGCCAUCUGGUUCGUUACUGACGCUGAGACGCGACAGCGUGGGGAGCAAACAGGAUUAGAUACCCUGGUAGUCCACGCCGUAAACGAUGAUGACUAGGUGUUGGAAGAGAUUGACCCUUUCGGCGCCACAGCUAACGCAUUAAGUCAUCCGCCUGGGGAGUACGGUCGCAAGACUAAAACUCAAAGGAAUUGACGG